rnacentral:rRNA from 1 species
CGAUUCCUACGGGAGGCAGCAGUGGGGAAUCUUCCGCAAUGGGCGCAAGCCUGACGGAGUGACGCCGCGUGGGGGACGAAGGCCUUCGGGUCGUAAACCCCUGUCAGAGGGAAAGAGGGGUGGCGCGGUGAACAGCCGCGUCACUUGACGGUACCUUCAGAGGAAGCCCCGGCCAACUCUGUGCCAGCAGCCGCGGUAAGACAGAGGGGGCAAGCGUUGCUCGGAAUCACUGGGCGUAAAGGGCGCGUAGGCGGGGCGGCAAGUCGGUCGUGAAAGCCCUCGGCUCAACCGAGGAGAGUCGGCCGAGACUGUCGUUCUUGAGGGAUGCAGAGGAGACUGGAAUUCCCGGUGUAGCGGUGAAAUGUGUAGAGAUCGGGAGGAACACCGGUGGCGAAGGCGGGUCUCUGGGCAUUGCCUGACGCUGAGGCGCGAAAGCGUGGGGAGCAAACGGGAUUAGAUACCCCGGUAGUCCACGCUGUAAACGAUGACGACUAGGUGUGGGGUGGUUCAGUCCACUCCGUGCCGCAGCUAACGCAUUAAGUCGUCCGCCUGGGGAGUACGGCCGCAAGGUUGAAACUCAAAGGAAUUGACGGGGGCCCGCACAAGCGGUGGAGCAUGUGGUUCAAUUCGAUGCAGAGCGAAGAACCUUACCUGGGCUUGACAUGCAGGACGUAGGAACCCGAAAGGGGGACGACCCGUUGAAUCGGGAGCCUGCACAGGUGGUGCAUGGCUGUCGUCAGCUCGUGCCGUGAGGUGUUGGGUUAAGUCCCGCAACGAGCGCAACCCUCACCCCAUGUUGCCAACGGUUCGGCCGGGCACUCUUGGGGAACUGCCGGCGAAGAGCUGGAGGAAGGGGGGGAUGACGUCAAGUCCGUAUGCCCCUUAUGCCCAGGGCUACACACAUGCUACAAUGGCCGGUACAGAGGGUCGCCAACCCGCGAGGGGGAGCCAAUCCCACAAAGCCGGCCUCAGUUCGGAUUGCAGGCUGCAACUCGCCUGCAUGAAGUCGGAAUCGCUAGUAAGCGCAGAUCAGCAGGCUGCGCUGAAUACGUUCCCGGGCCUUGUACACACCGCC